AGCAGUAGCCACGGGAAUACGGAGGGAGCUAGCGUUAUUCGGAUUAACUGGGCGUAAAGGGCGCGUAGGCGGGUUUUUAAGUCAGAGGUGAAAUCCCAAGGCUCAACCUUGGAACUGCCUUUGAUACUGGAAGUCUUGAGUCCGGGAGAGGUGAGUGGAACUGCGAGUGUAGAGGUGAAAUUCGUAGAUAUUCGCAAGAACACCAGUGGCGAAGGCGGCUCACUGGCCCGGUACUGACGCUGAGGCGCGAAAGCGUGGGGAGCAAACAGGAUUAGAUACCCCAGUAGUCCCUGUCUCUUAUAC
rnacentral:rRNA from 1 species